rnacentral:rRNA from 1 species
UACGUAGGGUGCAAGCGUUGUCCGGAAUUAUUGGGCGUAAAGGGCUCGUAGGCGGUCUGUCACGUCGGGAGUGAAAACUCAGGGCUUAACCCUGAGCCUGCUUCCGAUACGGGCAGACUAGAGGUAUGCAGGGGAGAACGGAAUUCCUGGUGUAGCGGUGAAAUGCGCAGAUAUCAGGAGGAACACCGGUGGCGAAGGCGGCUCUCUGGGACGGUACUGACGCUGAGACGCGAAAGCGUGGGGAGCGAACAGG